rnacentral:lncRNA from 1 species
CAAAGAAAUUAUAAAAAAAUUAGGUAAGAUCCUCUGAUAUUAAAGUUGUUCUUAUCUAAAGAUGUCUGCCUUUAUGUCAACACAAGUAUUUCAAGUUGGGAAUAUGUCAAUUUCCAUGUGGCAGGCUCCAUUAUGAAAAAGAAAAUACAUGGAGAUAUCAGAUAAAGAAACUCCCCUGUUGUCAUGGUGACAGCAAUUAUCAGCAGUUAGAACAGCAGACAAUGGAUUUAAUGGCUUGGUCUAAUAGUGACUUAAUUACUUAGCAGCCUAGUUUGUCUAUCAGCAUUUCAAUACACAGGAAUAAUUCAGUGCUGUGCUCCCACUACAUGAUGCCUUCACUUAGCAUUUUGAGUCUAUUACAAGCAGAAUUGCAGUAGCAUCAUUACCAUAAAUAUUUUUGAUUUCCUACGUGCUGGGCCGGCCAAGGUAAAUGGCCUUGUGUAGCAAUCUCACUUGAGCACCUCCCGUCACACAGCAGAGAGCCUGCCAGGCAGGAGAGAGCAGUGUGUGCUCAUCGUACUGUGAGGGUAAAAAAACAACCUGGAUUCCACUGCAGUUGUGUCUCCUUUAAAAUGGGGGGAAAGUUUCAAGCUAGGCCAGUCAAGGAUAUACAUCAUGGCACAUGUCAGGAAUACAUUUUCUUUUUUUCAGACACCGAAUGUCCUUCUUUUCUCCUCCUCAUUAUUCCUUCAGGCUGGAGGAAUGGCAAAUAACUUCCCAUCACCUCUCAAGCUGAUAAACUGGGUUGAAACUGCUGCUUCCUAUCAGUGGAAUUGGCUCAAAUUGGAGGCCAUGAAGCAGCACUCAGCCACAGCUCACAUCUGCCUGGUGGGAGUGAGAGCUUCAACACUGCCUCGUCCAUUGCUGUACAGCCAAGUCCUAAGGAAGCAGAAGGCCCAGGAAGCAGAAGAGCUUAAUUCACGUCCUUCCACAGCUGGAGGGGUUUCAGACCCACAUUUCCACUCCUCACGGAUGGGCACCAGUCCUUCAACACUCAUCUGCACUGGUGAGGAAACCACCACCAUCAACAAUUGAAACCUGCAGCCAAAUAGCCCCAAGGAGGUGGAGAAGGAGCCUGAUCCUGUAGGCCAGCACGUAGAAGCACACCUGAGAGGAAAGGAGAGGCAGCAGCUGCCUGCAUUAUUUUCUCUCUAUGCAAUGAGAACUAAUAUAAAGGACAUAACCAAGAUGAAAUGGAGCUUGAGGGCCGACAGAACCAUCUCUGGGAGCCCAGGUACUGCAGCUGGUGAGACUGGGCCAGCAGCUCCAGGAAGGGCCACACUGCUCUGUGAGAGGCAGAGGGAAGAAGUAACCCAGGGUAGGCACCUCGAGGAUGACAGAAAACAGGGGACAGGGAUGACUUGAUGAAGACUGCUUUACUUGAGCUUAUUUUAUUACCUUCUUUUGAUGGUUUAGUUGUAGGUGUCCCCAUUUUUAUGCUACUGUGACAAACAUUUCAGAAUCAUCUUUAAUAAACACAGAAGUAAUCCAGCUCA